rnacentral:misc_RNA from 1 species
UUUCCGUAGGUGAACCUGCGGAAGGAUCAUUAAAAAAUUGGACUCCAUUGGUGAGUUCAUUAAUAAUCCUACCCUUUUGUGAAUUUGUUUGUUUGAAUAAUUUUUUUCCAAAAAAAAUUAUUGAAUGUCUUUCCCUGUUUUGGUGGAGCUUGUAAAGUGAAACCAGGCAGGGGAAUGGCAAACAAUAAUUAUUUUUGAAAAAGACCUUUUUUAAAAUUAAACUUUUUGUAUUCAUUUGUCUAAAAUUAUUUUUAUAAUAUAAAAACAACUUUUGACAAUGGAUCUCUUGGUUCUCGCAACGAUGAAGAACGCAGCAAAAUGCGAUAAGUAGUGUGAAUUGCAGAAUACGUGAAUCAUCGAAUCUUCGAACGCAUAUUGCACUUUUUUAGUUUACUAAAAAAGUAUGUCUGUUUGAGUAUCAGUAAAAUAUUCUCAUAAAAAAUUUAUUUUUUAUGGUUAUGAGUGUUUUACAACGAUAACAAGUUGUUUCACUUUAAAUUCUUUGUUAUCAAAAAAAUCAUUAAAAGCUAAUUUUAAAGAUUUUUUAAAAUUGGAUAAAAUUUUCCCGUAAAAAGGAAUAACCUAAACAAUUUUAAAAAAUUAAAAUUGGUUUGAUUUUUCUUGAUUUAAAAGGAAAAAAAAGUAAAAAUUAACUUGAUCUCAAAUCAGAUAAGAGUACCCGCUGAACUUAAGCAUAUCAAUAAGCGGAGGAAAAGAAACUAACUAGGAUUCCCUCAGUAACGGCGAGUGAAGCGGGAAGAGCUCAAAUUUGAAAUCUUCAAGGUUUUACCUUGACGAAUUGUAGUUUAAAGAAGUGUUUUCUGUUGGAGUUUUGGUAAAAGUUCUUUGGAAAAGGACAUCAUAGAGGGUGAGAAUCCCGUAUUUGACCAUUAUCUCCAGCUUUGUGAUACACUUUCAAAGAGUCGGAUUGUUUGGGAAUGCAGUCCAAAAUGGGUGGUAAAUUUCAUCUAAAGCUAAAUACUGGCGAGAGACCGAUAGCGAACAAGUACCGUGAGGGAAAGAUGAAAAGAACUUUGAAAAGAGAGUUAAACAGUACGUGAAAUUGUCAAAAGGGAAGCGUUUGACACCAGUGUUGUUUUCUCGAAAAUCAAUUAAAAAAGGCCGGAUUUUGUGUUGUAUUGACUUUAUCAGCUUUCUGCACUUUUUCUUGUCUUUUUUAAUGCACUUUUCGUUUAACAAGUCAACAUCAAUUUCUUUUGUUGUAAAAGGGUCAUUGGAAGGUGGCUUUCUUUUCGGAGAAAGUGUUUAUAGCCUUUGGCCUCUGCAAUCGGAGAGAUUGAGGUCUGCAGCGUAGAUCCUUCGGGGUUAGAUACAUUUGUGCUAAGUUAUAGCCUUUCAUAGACAACUUGUUGACUAUGAUCAGUCAUGUAGCUUACUCGCUUAUGCUAUUUUACCUACGCUUAGGAUGUUG